rnacentral:rRNA from 1 species
UACGGGGGGGGUAAGCGUUGUUCGGAAUUACUGGGCGUAAAGGGCUCGUAGGUGGCCAACUAAGUCAGACGUGAAAUCCCUCAGCUUAACUGGGGAACUGCGUCUGAUACUGGAUGGCUUGAGUUUGGGAGAGGGAUGCGGAAUUCCAGGUGUAGCGGUGAAAUGCGUAGAUAUCUGGAGGAACACCGGUGGCGAAGGCGGCAUCCUGGACCAACACUGACACUGAGGAACGAAAGCCAGGGGAGCAAACGGG